GAAACUAGAUACAAGCGAGCGGCGGACGGGUGAGUAACACGUGGGUAACCUGCCCAAGAGACUGGGAUAACACCUGGAAACAGAUGCUAAUACCGGAUAACAACACUAGACGCAUGUCUAGAGUUUGAAAGAUGGUUCUGCUAUCACUCUUGGAUGGACCUGCGGUGCAUUAGCUAGUUGGUAAGGUAACGGCUUACCAAGGCAAUGAUGCAUAGCCGAGUUGAGAGACUGAUCGGCCACAUUGGGACUGAGACACGGCCCAAACUCCUACGGGAGGCAGCAGUAGGGAAUCUUCCACAAUGGACGAAAGUCUGAUGGAGCAACGCCGCGUGAGUGAAGAAGGGUUUCGGCUCGUAAAGCUCUGUUGGUAGUGAAGAAAGAUAGAGGUAGUAACUGGCCUUUAUUUGACGGUAAUUACUUAGAAAGUCACGGCUAACUACGUGCCAGCAGCCGCGGUAAUACGUAGGUGGCAAGCGUUGUCCGGAUUUAUUGGGCGUAAAGCGAGUGCAGGCGGUUCAAUAAGUCUGAUGUGAAAGCCUUCGGCUCAACCGGAGAAUUGCAUCAGAAACUGUUGAACUUGAGUGCAGAAGAGGAGAGUGGAACUCCAUGUGUAGCGGUGGAAUGCGUAGAUAUAUGGAAGAACACCAGUGGCGAAGGCGGCUCUCUGGUCUGCAACUGACGCUGAGGCUCGAAAGCAUGGGUAGCGAACAGGAUUAGAUACCCUGGUAGUCCAUGCCGUAAACGAUGAGUGCUAAAGUGUUGGGAGGUUUCCGCCCUCUCAGUGCUGCAGCUAAACGCAUUAAAGCACUCCCGCCUGGGG
rnacentral:rRNA from 1 species